rnacentral:rRNA from 1 species
CUGGCGGCGUGCUUACACAUGCAAGUCGAACGAACCUUCGGGAUUAGUGGCGGACGGGUGAGUAACGCGUGAGAAUCUGCCCUCAGGAGGGGGAUAACGGCUGGAAACGGCCGCUAAUACCCCAUAUGCCGAGAGGUGAAAUGAAUUUCGCCUGAGGAUGAGCUCGCGUCUGAUUAGCUAGUUGGUAAGGUAAGAGCUUACCAAGGCAUCGAUCAGUAGCUGGUCUGAGAGGAUGAUCAGCCACACUGGGACUGAGACACGGCCCAGACUCCUACGGGAGGCAGCAGUGGGGAAUUUUCCGCAAUGGGCGCAAGCCUGACGGAGCAACGCCGCGUGAGGGAUGAAGGCCUCUGGGCUGUAAACCUCUUUUCUCAAGGAAGAAGACAUGACGGUACUUGAGGAAUAAGCCACGGCUAAUUCCGUGCCAGCAGCCGCGGUAAUACGGGAGUGGCAAGCGUUAUCCGGAAUUAUUGGGCGUAAAGCGUCCGCAGGCGGCCUUUUAAGUCUGUUGUUAAAGCGUGGAGCUCAACUCCAUUUCGGCAAUGGAAACUGGAAGGCUGGAGUGUGGUAGGGGCAGAGGGAAUUCCCGGUGUAGCGGUGGAAUGCGUAGAUAUCGGGAAGAACACCAGUGGCGAAGGCGCUCUGCUGGGCCGAGACUGACACUGAGAGACGAAAGCGAGGGGAGCAAAUGGGAUUAGAUACCCCAGUAGUCCUCGCCGUAAACGAUGGAUACUAGGUGUUGGAUGUUUUCAAAGACUUCAGUACCGUAGCUA